UAGCUAAACCAUGGUACAAUCUACGACCACGGUCAUACCAACCAUAGUGGUCCUAUCAGAUAUCUACAAUCACGACACUACUUAGCCAAUGGUGACCCCUAACAGAUAUUUGCGUCACCACUCUCAUCAAAGGGUACGCUGCCAUCCACAAGGAGCGGUCCUCUUAUAUCUUUUCAGACCAGAUGGGAGAGAAAAAAAUAGAUACACCAUAUGGAGCUAGGGGAACAAAUAACCCUCAGAGAUAAAAAGGUUAACGAGACACUUGAUGCAUUAUGCAUACCAGUGCAGAUGCAUACUUUGGACCAUUCAUGCUUCAUUCCACUU
rnacentral:lncRNA from 1 species